rnacentral:rRNA from 1 species
CUCAGAUUGAACGCUGGCGGCAGGCCUAACACAUGCAAGUCGAGCGGUAACAUUUCAAAAGCUUGCUUUUGAAGAUGACGAGCGGCGGACGGGUGAGUAAUGCCUGGGAAUUUGCCCAUUUGUGGGGGAUAACAGUUGGAAACGACUGCUAAUACCGCAUACGCCCUACGGGGGAAAGCAGGGGAACUUCGGUCCUCGCGCUGAUGGAUAAGCCCAGGUGGGAUUAGCUAGUAGGUGAGGUAAUGGCUCACCUAGGCAACGAUCCCUAGCUGGUCUGAGAGGAUGAUCAGCCACACUGGGACUGAGACACGGCCCAGACUCCUACGGGAGGCAGCAGUGGGGAAUAUUGCACAAUGGGGGAAAUCCCUGAUGCAGCCAUGCCGCGUGUGUGAAGAAGGCCUUCGGGUUGUAAAGCACUUUGCAGCGAGGAGGAAAGGGUGUGAAGUUAAUACCUUACAUCCUGUGACGUACUCGCAGAAGAA